rnacentral:rRNA from 1 species
GCAGUCGAGCGCCCAGCAAUGGGAGCGGCAGACGGGUGAGUAACACGUGGGGAUCUACCCAAUGGUACGGAAUAACCCAGGGAAACUUGGACUAAUACCGUAUGUGCCCUUCGGGGGAAAGAUUUAUCGCCAUUGGAUGAACCCGCGUCGGAUUAGCUAGUUGGUGAGGUAAAGGCUCACCAAGGCGACGAUCCGUAGCUGGUCUGAGAGGAUGAUCAGCCACACUGGGACUGAGACACGGCCCAGACUCCUACGGGAGGCAGCAGUGGGGAAUAUUGGACAAUGGGCGCAAGCCUGAUCCAGCCAUGCCGCGUGUGUGAUGAAGGCCUUAGGGUUGUAAAGCACUUUCGCCGGUGAAGAUAAUGACGGUAACCGGAGAAGAAGCCCCGGCUAACUUCGUGCCAGCAGCCGCGGUAAU